GUGCCAGCAGCCGCGGUAAUACGGAGGGUCCGAGCGUUAUCCGGAAUCAUUGGGUUUAAAGGGUCCGCAGGCGGUCAAUUAAGUCAGAGGUGAAAUCCCAUAGCUUAACUAUGGAACUGCCUUUGAUACUGGUUGACUUGAGUUAUAUGGAAGUAGAUAGAAUGUGUAGUGUAGCGGUGAAAUGCAUAGAUAUUACACAGAAUACCGAUUGCGAAGGCAGUCUACUACGUAUAUACUGACGCUCAUGGACGAAAGCGUGGGGAGCGAACAGGAUUAGAUACCCUGGUAGUCCACGCCGUAAACGAUGGACACUAGUUGUUGGGAUUUAUCUCAGUGACUAAGCGAAAGUGAUAAGUGUCCCACCUGGGGAGUACGAUCGCAAGAUUGAAACUCAAAGGAAUUGACGGGGGCCCGCACAAGCGGUGGAGCAUGUGGUUUAAUUCGAUGAUACGCGAGGAACCUUACCAGGGCUUAAAUGUAGUCUGACAGCUUUAGAGAUAGAGUUUUCUUCGGACAGAUUACAAGGUGCUGCAUGGUUGUCGUCAGCUCGUGCCGUGAGGUGUCAGGUUAAGUCCUAUAACGAGCGCAACCCUUGUCGUUAGUUGCCAGCAUGUAAAGAUGGGGACUCUAACGAGACUGCCGGUGCAAACCGAGAGGAAGGUGGGGAUGACGUCAAAUCAUCACGGCCCUUACGUCCUGGGCCACACACGUGCUACAAUGGUAUGGACAA
rnacentral:rRNA from 1 species